GUUUCUGUGGUGUAGUGGUUAUCACGUUCGCCUCACACGCGAAAGGUCCCCGGUUCGAAACCGGGCAGAAACA
rnacentral:tRNA from 2 species